rnacentral:lncRNA from 1 species
CGGAAGCACAGGGCCAUGGUGAAACAUGGAAGGGCGUGGAGUAAGAACAGAGGCGGAAGUAAAGAAUAACAGAGUCUAAAACCAACUCAUUCUCUUCCCUAAAUGAGCUUCCUUUUCAGAUUUCCCUCAUUUUACUUACGUCAUACAUAUCACUAUUACUAUCCUUUUAAACUUCUGGAAGUGCCUUGGACCUGCCAAAAUGACUGCAACUGUGAUGUUUCUGGUGAUAUGCUGUGUGCUGAAGAGAGAGAUGAGGACGUGACUCUGCUGUCU